UACGAAGGGGGCUAGCGUUGCUCGGAAUCACUGGGCGUAAAGGGUGCGUAGGCGGGUUUUUAAGUCAGGGGUGAAAUCCUGGAGCUCAACUCCAGAACUGCCUUUGAUACUGAAAGUCUUGAGUAUGGGAGAGGUGAGUGGAACUGCGAGUGUAGAGGUGAAAUUCGUAGAUAUUCGCAAGAACACCAGUGGCGAAGGCGGCUCACUGGCCCGGAACUGACGCUGAGGUGCGAAAGCGUGGGGAGCAAACAGG
rnacentral:rRNA from 1 species